rnacentral:rRNA from 1 species
UACGUAGGUGGCAAGCGUUUGUCCGGAAUUAUUGGGCGUAAAGCGCGCGCAGGCGGUUCUUUUAAGUCUGAUGUGAAAGCCCACGGCUCAACCGUGGAGGGUCAUUGGAAACUGGGGAACUUGAGUACAGAAGAGGAAAGCGGAAUUCCACGUGUAGCGGUGAAAUGCGUAGAGAUGUGGAGGAACACCAGUGGCGAAGGCGACUCUUUGGUCUGUAACUGACGCUGAGGCGCGAAAGCGUGGGGAGCAAACAGG